AUCCAUAAAUCGUACUUUGGAAAUUUAUAUUCAUUAAAUACAAGUUUUAAAAAAUAUAUUUAUUUAUUUAUUUGAAGGCCAGAGUUAAGAGAGGCUGAGGCAGAGAGAGAGAGAGCGAGGUCUUCCAUCCUCUGGUUCACUCCCCAGAUGGCCUCAAUGGCUGGAACUGGACUGGAAUUGGACCAAUCUGAAGCCAGAAGCUAGGAGCUUCUUCCAGGUCUCCCACACUGGUCCAGGGCCAAGGACUUGAGUCAUCCCCUACUACUUUCCCAGGCCAUAGCAGAGAGCUGGAUAGAAUGUGGAGCAGCCAGGUCUGGAACCAGCAUAUGGGAUGCCAACGCUGCUUUACCCACUACACCACAGUGCCAGCCCCAACAAGGCAGGUUUUUAAAUUUAAAAAAAAACAAAUGUCUGCCCCAUAAUUUAUUUGGAAACAAUUGCUAUUUCCCCCUGCAUAUCAAUUUAUCCUUACUUUGCCUUUCAAUUCCUCUAUUCCCGGUAUUUUUGCAUGUCCCCUCCAUGUACUUUUACCUAAUUUUCUUCCUAAAAAUUAGCUAUUCCUUCUUUUCUUAUUCUACUACGACCAUAUUGCCCACUAUCAGGUUGUGUAUGUCUUGCUUUGAUUCAGUUAUCUCACUCAGAGGUUUAACAAAUGUUUUGUCUUAACAUAGGGUAUGGGCCUGGAGUGGGGAAUAUUAGAUCCAUGGUCUUACAGAGUAUUUAAUUUACUAAGGAAACAGUUAAAGAUCAAGGACAGUAAGAAGUCACCCUUCUUAAAAGACAAAGCAGUUUGGAUACUAACAAAGAAAAUGGGAGUGGAAAGUAGAGGAUUCUCCCACUUCCUUGAGGAGAUGGUGCGUGAGUUGAGUUCUGAAAAAUGGCUUAAUAUUCCCCUGAGGAACAGAGGGUGAUUUAAACCAAGGGGCAUUAAUUGAAGCAUGAGUUCAUGUGGAAAGCAGGUUGGCAGCAUUUUGCACAUAGCUAUGAUCAAACAAAAUAUUUUCAAAGAACGAGAAAAAACUUCUCAAAAAACAUUUUUAAAGGGAAAGCUCAGAUGUGCUGUACCAAGUGUUUGAUUUAGUAGGCAAUUCUGCCUUUUUGUGUUAAUCACUUAGUGUCUUCUUCAGAAAGGGGGUAUGAACAUUUGAUAAAAUAUAUUCCUUAAAUCUGUUGACUACUUGAUGAACGGUAGGUACUCCAGAUACUGACACACAUAGAAUAUUUUAAACUUUGGCGUGACUGAAUUCAAAACUAAAAGUCAAUCUUUGCUGAGUUGAAAUAUUUUUAUUUGAACUUACAAGUUAGUUUUCACCAGUUGGCAUUUCAUAACAGUUGAGGAAAUGUUUCAUAGUUCAAAAUUAAGAUGUAGUCUGUCCAAAUAGGGACAUCAAAAUAGUACAUUAAAAAUAGGGAUUGGGACCAGAGUCGUGGUGCAGUGGGUUAAGCUACCACUGGUGAUGCUGGCAGCUCAUAUGAGUGCCAGUUCUAGUCUUGGCUGUUCCAUUUGCAAUCUAGCUCUCUGUUAAUGUGCCUGGGCAAAGCAGAGGACAGCAGUUGGAGUUUUUGGGCCCCUGCCAACCAUGUGAAAAACAUAGAUCAAGUUCCAGACUCCUGGCUUCGGCCUGGUCCAGCCCUGGCCAUUGUGGCCAUUUGGAGGGUGAAUCAACAGAUGAAAGAUCUCUGUCUCACCCUCUCUCUGUCUGUCUCUGCCACUUCCAUCUCCUGCCCCAUAGCUCUGCUUUCAAAUAAAUCAUUAAAAAAAAGUAGGAAUUGAGUCAGACAUUUGGCAUAGUGAUUAAGACCUGCUUGGGAUGGAGGGAAUAGGUUUGGAAGUCCUGGCUCUGCUUCUGAUCCAGAUUCCUGCUAAAAAACACUCAUGUGCGUUGCCUGCCACUCAUGUAGGACACCUGAAUGAAGUUCUGGAUGCUUGACUUCAACCUGGGCUACCCCUGGCCACAGGCACUUAAGAAGUGAACCCAGCAAUGAAAGAGCUCUGAAUGUCUCUGGCUCUGUUUUCCUCUCUGCUGUGCAACAAAUUAAAAAAAAAAAAAGUUAAAAUAGGAAUAAUACACAGAAAGCAAAGUAGGUAAUGUUUCUUUAAAUUGUUAAAAGGGAAUAAAUGGGAAAAUGAAUGAAGUCUUGUUGCAUUUUUUUUUUCUCUUGUUCACUCCAUUAUUCUGUGAACUACAUUAAACUUUGUCCCCCAAGUGACCUUGAAUAUUUAACCACCUGCUCAAUUGGAUCGGGCAACAGACAGACUGCAAAGCUGCAAGCAUAAGACCUAACAAGAGUAUGCUUCUCCCAUAAGUAAAGUUUAGCACUCAGACUAGGGGGAUGCGGGAAUUGUUCAGCUGCUUGCAAAGAUGCCUGGUACUAAAAACUCACAGAAGCGCUUCUGAAGUAGCUAAGUUUUUAAAGCCUGAGCCUUGACAAUAUUUAAGCAGGAUCAUGUAACAUGAGAUUUAGAAUAUUGGUCUCUCUGUGGAAUUAAUUUUUCAAAAAAGACUAUAUAAGAGUUAUAUGGGGACUAUUUUGCAAUUUGUGAGGCACUGAUUUCCCUGUAUAUUUGCUAAAGUAUUAACCUGAGAAUUAUUCAGAAAGCUAAUGGAAUAUGAAAUUUUAAGUUUAUUUUGGUGCAAAAAUAUUUGGUGCAGGCAUUUGUGGGGUCUUCACAUAGUUCUUGGAAAGAACUAUGCACGGAUUUCAAAUACAUUUGCACCAAAAUAUACUUUUAAAUCCAUUUUCCAUGAACAUUUUGAAGUAUCCUCAUAGAUUCCACUGGAAAAAUGAUGGAAAAGAUGUGUACACACACAUACACACAUCUCCAAGUAUAUAAAGAAGCAGUUAUUAAAAGUACUUUUUAAAGCACAUUUGUAAGUGGACUUUGAUAAUUUCCUUAAAUGAUUUUACACUUAAAGCCGACUAACCUUGUGACAUUUAUCUGUUGAUUUAAAAAUGCAUGUAACCCGCAAUUUUGUUUGUAUAGUUUAAUUGGUUCUUGAAAGGUUAAUAAUUAAAGCACUAUAGUUCAUCUUAUAAAGACAUGUUUUUCUGAUAUAUCCAAAACAGUUUCAUAGAACAGCAGAUAUUAACUUUUGUUGUCUUAUGAAAGUAACAGCAUUAGUCAGACACAUUUAGGGAAGAAAUGCAGUUUUUUUUUUUACAAGAUGUAUGCCUCACUUCUUAGGAACUGUCUUGCCAAUAAAAUCACAGGAAAAUAGCUGCUACAUUAUCUAAAUUAAUAAAUUUACGCUGUUCUGUGAAUGGUGGGUAAUAAAAUUUCUUGUAAAAUUAUUGCAUUGCAAAGUCAGGGUUAAAAUUGGCUUUGAUUAGGAAUUCAGGCUUGAAAAGUAUCCUCAAAGUGUCAUUUGUUUGGAAUAUUAGGACAGAAUGGGUUUAUCUCAGAACUGAUUAGGUGUUGCAACUGUUGUCAUUGUUGUUGUUUUGUUUUCUGGUUUCCUGGCUUGGAAGGUGAUAUACAGACUCACAGUGGAAGAGAGUACAUGUCAGUUUUGCUUACACAAUACACAGACCAAUGAUUACAUGCCUUUUCCCUGUCUAUAAAUUUAUGACUUUAAAAAACAAUCACUGCUUUCGCUAAUGAAUAAAUGGCCAUAACAAAUCCAAGUUCACUUUUUAAAUACUUUAAUAUUCUCUGGAUCUAUUACAUAAAUGUUUUUAUGAUUAUUAAUACCCUUGGAUUUUCUUCCUCAAAUAUACACAAUGCUAUGCUGUUGUUCAUAGAAGCAUGCUAGGAUUCUAUCAUCAUUGUAAUACGAGUAAGUCCUUAUUUAGACAUUUCUCAAGGCAUUCCACUGUUAUCUUUCUUUUUUUUUUUUUUUGAGACAUAUAAGUUCCUAAAAGUGUAUUUAUCCCUAUAUGUGACCUAUGUGUGAUGAACGUAUUCACUUGACCUCAGUAGAUUGAGAACUAACUUUUAUGGCAUCUAUUAAAUGAUUCGGUGCAUGUAUUAUUUUGUUCUGGGCAAUAAUAUUUGGGUGUUUUUUUGUCUUUUUAUGCCUUAAAAAUUGCAGAGAAUAGGCAUAUCUCAUUGACUAGAACUUGAAAGCUGAAGCUUCCCAUAGGGAAGUGGAAGUCAGUGGCUUUCAUAACUGAAAGGCACGCAGCAGGACUGCCUUCUAUUAGGACACUUCACUGAAGAAUCACAGCUAGGCAAUCUCCCCCUUCUGAAUAGCAAUGCAGGAAAUUUCAUGAAAAUGACAAUUGUGCUAUGAUUUUCAUGUUUACCCUCAUCUUCGUUCUUUCUUCUUCUACUUUAUCCCUACCCUGUGUUCACAUGUAGACACACAGUACCUUAGAACUUCAGAGACGCAAUCCUGUGUUUCAUUUUUCAGCUUAAUGAAUUCCAUAUGGUUUCUUUGCAUUCAAGUAUUUUCCUAUUUGUUGGUUUACUUUCUGGGUUUUACAAUGUGUGUUAUUUUUUAUCAUAGUGACUCAUUAUUAAGGACUUUUUUCACUGCUUUGCUCUUUUUUCUCUUUAGAUUUUAUUUCUGAAGUGCCACUUAUUUCAAAUUUUCUUUGGUUAUAUAGGAUUGCCAUAUAUAUUGAUCUACCUACCAAUGCUAAAAGCAUAUUCAUUGCAUUUCUUAUUUUUCCUCCUUUCCCUCAAUCUUUGUUUUAAAGUCUUUAGUUCCAAAAUCAAUGCACUUUAAAUAAGUGAAGGAUUAGAUAAUCAUUUGUCUUUGCUUUAUAAUGAAAAUUUGACUAUUUGAAUUAUACAAUAAAAUGCAAAAUUUCAAAGAAAAGUGAGAAUUUACCUUUCAAUUUCAUGAAAUGUUAGAUGACUAAUGGCUUUGAGGGAUACAAUUAUACAUAUCUAAAUAUGCACAUUUUUCUAAUUUAAAUACAAUUAUAAAUGCUAUACAUUACAUGUCCAAAUGAUAUUUUGGGGGUUAAUGAUUAAUCAGGACUAAAACAGAAUACUAGAGUUUGGUAAACUAAUUUUUUAGAUAUAACUUAUAACUAUUUUUAUCAAGCUAAAUGUCAUAAUAAAUUAUUUUCUUUUAUCUUUGAGGGAAAGACAUAAUGAGGCAUUGGACUGUAUUAGAGUGUCAAAAUCAGCAAAUAUUUAGAAAAUACUCACUUCAUAUAAGAAAUUCUAGAAAAUUGUGAUUCAUAUGUCAAAAUACAAUCUAUCAAAUUAAAAUACUGCCUAUUCCAGAGGUAAGGAAAGAAAUGUAAGUUAGUGUGUUUGCAUGCAUGUGGGUGUUUUAAAUGUAUGUGUUAUUGUAUAAAGAAUAUCUAAUAACCCAUAAAAGAAGGAGGUACCUUUCUCUGAAGGGAGGAGAGAACUUCCACUUCGACUGUGGCCUUGUCUAAACAAGAUUGGAGUUGGCGAACUCAAGAGGCUUCCAUAGCCUUGGCAACUCAUGACAAGAGCCUUGGGUGAUUACUGACGUUAUAAAUAGAAUGUCAAUUGUUAAAUCAACAACAGGAAUCACUGUGCACUUACUCCCCAUGUAGGAUCUCUGUCCUUAAUGUGUUGUACUAUGUGAAUUAACGGUAUAACUAGUACUCAAACAGUACUUUACACUUUGUGUUUCUGUGUGGGUACAAACUGUUGAAAUCUUUACUUAGUAUAAACUAAAUUGAUCUUUUGUAUAUAAAGAUAAUUAAAAAUGAAUCUUGAUGUGAAUGGGAUAGGAGAAGGAGUGGGAGACGGGAUGGUUGCAGGUGGGAGGGUAGUUAUGGGGGGAAAAAUCCGCUAUAAUCCAAAAGUUGUACUUUGGAAAUUUAUAUUUAUUAAAUAAAAGUUAAAAAAAUAUUUAAUCUAGGCAGUGUGAGUAGACAAAGCUCUUUCUUUUGCUAGGGUCAGAAAGGAAUACAAUGACUUUAUGCAAAGCUUUUACUUGGGAAAAAUCCAAGGGUCUGGUGUGGUUGAAGCAGAAUGAAGGAGAGGAGGAAAGGUUGGACCAGAUCUUUAUGUUUUCCGUCUUCUUUGAACUCAUCUAGAUGACUGCUUCCUGAGUUGUAUCUUUUUUGUAACAUAAACAGGAAUUUAGUUAUUGUAAUUUAAAACGUGAGAGUCAAACCUCAAUUUAGGCUCACAUAUAAAGACUGUUAUCAAUUGAAUAGACUUUUAAACACUAUUUUGAGUUAAAUAGUUCAUUCCAAGUAAUAUUGCUGGACCACAUUUUAUUUAAAAUGAUUUGUCAGUCACAAUUUGAGUAGAUAUUAUGCUAAUACUCAGCAGUUGCCUAUAUAGUUGGUGAGGCAGAUAUAUGAUCAAUUUCAACAGAUUAUUGUUAAAGCAAGUAAAAGAGGUAGCUAGAGAAGAAAGUUCCAGUAUCUCGAUGUUCUGUGGCUUCUUCCUGUGUGGCUAGUGAAUUGUUCAGUCACUAUGGGGGAAUGGCGAAGAGCAUCCAGAAAGCUUUGAGGGAAAAAAAAACACUAUGGGCUGCAAAGGAAGAAGAGCACCUCUAACAAAUAGAGAAACAAUAGGUUAGCCUGUGGGCAGAGCUUCAGGAAAGAGCAGGAGGUCAGGGAGCUAGUUCAGGGCCAGUCAAUGCCAAACCUCCAGGCCUGUGAAGGAUUCUGGCCUUGUGACCAAUAGAACACAGUGCAAGAUUUUAAUCAGAGGUAUGAGGAGUGCUGCAUUUUGAAAGACACAUAACUUGCAAGUUCCUGACUUUCUAUAGAUUCCAAGGUAUGGGAAAAGAGAAUCAGAAACAUGAUACUCAUUCACAGGGCACAUUUGGAAGUUAUUGCACAUACAUAAAAACAUAGUACAACUUGGAAAGUUCAAGUGCUAUACCUUUUCUGUUAUUUUCAAUUUUCUAUUAGUCUUUGCUUUAUAAUUAUAUACCUGCAAUAUCAAUUCCUAUUUUAUAAGGAAAUGGAGCCCUUAGUGGCUGAAAGUAUCUAUUUAUAAAUAUAAAUUUAAGUGAAAAUAUUGCAAAUUUUUUGAAUGACUUCUUCAAGAUUAAAAAUUGCAAUGUGUCGGCCGGUGCCAUGGCUCAGUAGGCUAAUCCUCUGCCUGCGGCGCCAGUACCCUGGGUUCUAGUCCCGGUUGGGGUCCCGGAUUCUGUCCCGGUUGUUUCUCUUCCAGUCCAGCUCUCUGCUGUGGCCCAAGAAGGCAGUGGAGGAUGGCCCAGGUUCUUAGACCCUACACCCGUAUGAGAGACCAGGAGGAAGCACCUGGCUCCUGGCUUCAGAUCGAUGCAGCGCGCCGGUUGUGGCAGCGUAUUGUGAGGUGAACCAAUGGAAGGAAGAUCUUGCUCUCUCUCUCUCUCUCUCUCUCACUAUCUAACUCUGCCUGGCAAUAAAUAAAUAAAUAAAUAAAUAAUUCAAUGUUGACAAGAUAUAGGAAUCAAAUGAUUUGUGAUAUAACCAACUUUCCACUCAGUGCUUGUAUAAAGAUAAAGGGAGUACUUAUCACCAGUUCUUGUAUGAUUAACAAAGCUAAUGGAAGAAGAGUUUUUAUGGUAUGUUUUAUAUUUACAUUGAAAUCACUUAAUUUUUUAUUUCAUUAAUUUAAUAUUCCAUUAUUUGUAUAGAUAGUUCAGAAAAAAAUCUUAAAAGUAGCAAGGAACAAGUAACUAGGCAUAGUUUUGAAUAUGGUUUGUCAACACUUUCCAUCACACUCAGUAGCAUGUUACAGAAUUACAGCCAAACUCAGAAAACAUGUGAGUUGCAGAAACUCCAAAUAUUAACUGUAAAACAAGAAAAAAAAUUAGUACCUGUCUCCUGACAUAUUUUUGCACAUAUGCUCCUUCUACCUAAUUGUCACCAAAAUGUUUUCACUAGAAUCAUUCUUUGGAGUUAGACCAUCCCCCAAAAUAAGCUAAUUAAACUUUAUUAUUGAUUGUAAAUUAUAAGCUAGUGUUUCAAAUACCUAGUGUUCUCUUUAAUUACUACAGCCAUCUUAUUAGUGAGCAAUCAUCUUCAACAUUUUUCAAAUGGGAAACUAUCUGCAAUAUCACAUUCUGAUAAGUGGCAAGACAGAACUUUAACAUUGUCUGUCUUACUCUCAAAUCCUUCAUCUACAUCCACCUACAUUUCCAAGAAUCACAUUAAAAUAGACUCAUAUUUCAGAGCCUGAAAAGCAAGGAUUAUAGGAAACUGCCAUGUCUUCUUCUCCAAGGGCUCCUAUUUGUCAAUGGCCAAAACAUUCAGCACAGAGUGUGUCAUUUAAAGUGAUUAACUACUGAGCAACUAAAAUGGGGUUUUAAGGGAAUGAGUCACAUUGGGGAACACCAGUAAGAGACCAAGAGUCAAGGAGAGACUUGAAGUUGUACCAUCAAAUUGGGAAAAAGAAUCGCAGCUUAACAUGGACUCACACAUAUUUCUCUGACUUCACAGUGUAUUCUAUUACCAGACUUUGCAUUAUUCAAAGGUAUUUGCAUAAGAUACUACAGAUCAAGCUAUCUCAGCCUACACGCUGUUGGCAUUUGAGCAGAAUUAUUCUUUGUCAAAAGAGACUGGCCCAUGCCUCGAUAAUGCUUACAGAAUCUCUUGCCUUUAACCACUACAUGCCAACAGUGUCUCUUCCUCUAAGUUUGACAACCAAAAAUGCCUACAAUUGUACACAAACGUCCCCUGGGCAGCAAAAUCACCAGAGGGUAAGAACCAGAGGGUAACAACUAUUCUGAGGAAUACUUUGUGGAAGUACAUAUUGAAGAAUUUUCUGGCCAAGCUAAGUCUAGGCUUAUUAAUAGUAUAGUAUCAUAUCAAUCCUUUCUAAAGUGAUAAUAUAACUCAGAACCAGUGAAAAGAUUUCAAGUAGUUUGUGAACUCAGAGGUUAGUGAAAUGAAGAGAAGCAAAGUAAGCAAAUUGUCUAAGAGUGCCACUGGUAGACGUGAGUGGGAUCAAUAUGAACUCUGUGAGCUGACUAUACAUUUUUAUGAGUGUAAUCAUUUCUGGAAAUCAUUUGGUAUCAUGCAUUAGACUAACCAAUUUAAAGAAUGAUUGGCCAAAGGAAAGAAAUUGCAUAGCCAAUAAAAUUGAUAACAAAUUUGAGAGAAAUCGAGUACUAACCUUAGAAAAGCUGUUUAUGUGUACUAUCCGUGAGAAAUAUUCAUUCUGAAGAUAUAUUCACAGCAUGCCAUUAAGUUAAUUGUAAAUUAAGAGUAUAAUAUAUGUCUGGUACAGAAAUGGAUAACUUAGGGACUCACAGGCUAUUUUAGUGCCUGGUUAACCAAACAUUGAUUUCUAUGAAAAAUCGAAUCUGCAAAUAGGAAAGAGCUUGAAAGUAGGCUGCACUUAAGGUGAAAUUGUGCAAAAUUAACGUAGGCUAGCAGUUGGCCAUUUCUGGAACAUCUUAUAAUGUGGCAAUUGUUUUGUAUAAACUCAAACAAAUAUAAAUCAUUGUCUCAAGACUCCUAAGGGACCUGGCACAAUCUUUCCACAGGGACAUCUUCUUUUACAGCCUCAUUACACUUGCCAGUGAUUCAUGGGUGUUAGGCUUGACUGAGUAGGGUGGAAGGGGCUAAGGAACUCAGUAUGCUAUAUUUCAACCAUGCAAAUGAGCAUAUUUCCCUGAGACUAAACAGCAGCAUUUCUAAAAGAAUUAGAUUCAUCUCUGUCUAUUCCUAUUAUUCUCUUGUUGAGAUUUGCAAAGUAAUCUGAGUCCAUGAGAAAAAAUUCUCAGUAUAGCAUGUUUAGCAUAGCAUUGCAUCUUAAAUGCUGGACAGAGCAGUUUUAAGGAUUAUCAAGAAAGACUCUGAUGGGGGUGAAUAUAGGGAUCACAAGGGGCAAGAGCAAUGUGUAUGAAAUGGAACUGAAUUCAGGACAAAAUCUAUUGAACUUCAGCUAUGCCAAAUAUGUUCUAUAGCACUCUCUGGGCCAAGUUGUGAGCCAGAGAAAGAAAUUCUUCAUUCUGGGACAGAGUGAGAUCUGGCACACUCUUGACAAAACACUGGUUACAAAGCCCUCUGUACUUAGAUCAGUACCACCAAUGCUUUCCUUGAUUACCUUUAAUCCAGGGCAGUGGGGACAAACGUUUUACAUAAGGAGAAGGAGAGAAAGGGGAGACUAAACACUCACCUCCCUUGAUACACCUAAGCAAAUUGAGAACACAAUGUUUUAUUUAACUCAGUGCCUGUUGCAUUGUCCACCAUGCUUUGUGCAUUGAAAAUCCUGCAAAAAAAAAAUAAAUAAAAUAAAAUAAAUAAACAAAAAAUACAAUUACUCAAGUUCUGUAAAACUGAAAUUUUCCUUUAAUGGUUAGCUAACUAAAUUGCUAUAUUUAACCAUAAGUUGUACUCUGUCAGGCAGAUUAUUUAGGCUUUUUUAGGAAACCAUAUUCCCAAGUCUUCAGUAUUUCCAUUCAGACAUUUGUAUCUAGGUGUUCUAACAGUUGACAAUUAUGUUGUAUGAAAUUAAGCCAAAAACUAUAAAAACUUACACACAUAAAGCAUAAAUAGGAAAAAUUUGUCUAUUUUUAGAAAUGUAAAACAGAAAUUCUCUAAGUUGCUAGACUACAAGUGGUUUCAAUAAAUUAAGCAGAUUAAGUAUUACAGAUUAUUACUAGAAAUAGCAUUGAAAACCAUGAGCAAGCGGAACAUAAAAAGCUUAUGUGUAUUUCUGACAUGGCUUUCAAAUUUUAAUACUAAGCACUCAUGUACUGUCAUUACAGGAAAUGUGAAAUAAGUUAAAAAUAUAUAGUUCAUUUAUUAUAUCAGAAAGUACUGUUUCAGACAAUAUCUAUUCAAAAUAUAGCUGUAGACGUAGAUAUAUGUAAAAAAUAAAAAUCCGAUAUCCAUAAAUCAAAUUUAUUUUCAGGUUGGAUUUUAAUUUCUGAUCUUUGGAUUUAUAUAUCUAACUACUAGUUGGUUAUCACAACUUCUAUAGUAUAGGAUAGUUGAAACUUUAAUACAACAAAAAUUGACUUAAUCAUAUUUCCUUCUAACUUAGUGGCUCCUUGGUAAAACCAUUUAGAAUAAGCAAAAUAUGUCUCCCUUCCUCUCACAAACUGAAUUAAUUAAAUUAAUCCCUGGUCUGAUGAUUUUUGCAUUCUAUUUUCUUAACUAUCAAGAUCCAAUUCUCUACACCAUUAUUGCCAUAGCCCUUGUCUGGAUUCUCAUUACAUUUUAUUGGAGGAUUGCAGAAGUACUUCUCAAUCCUGGAUUUGUUCCCCUCAAUAACUCAAUACCUCUACCUCUUGUAGACCUCACUGCUGCAAAGUAGCUACAGCUAAUCAUCUGCAGUAUGGCACCCUUAGAAUUCAUUGUCUUUGUUCACGCUGCCACCUGCAGGCUUACUCCUUGCAACCCUCAGCACAUAUUAUAUCAUCUAUAAUUCUGCAAUUAUUCAUCCUUGUUUUCUCUAGACCAAAAGAAAAAAUUAUGUCAUAGCUCUUUUUAUGACAAGGGUCAGGCAAAGAACUUUGUCUAAAGUAGAUACUGAUAAAAUGUAAACUUUGGGAUAUCAAAACAUUUUAAAAAUUAAUUUAUGUUUAUGUGAGAGGCAAUGACAGAGGAAUCUAGAGCAUGAGAGAGAGAGAGAGAGGGAGAGAAAAAGAGAGAUGUCCUAUAUGCUGGUUCAUUCUCCAAAAGCCUACAUCAGCUGAGUAUGCAUCAGGCUAAAGUCAGGGGCUGGAACUCAGUCUAGGUCUCCUACUUGGUUGGCAGGGACUCAGAUAUUUGAGCCAUCACCUGCUGUCUCUGGAAUGUGCAAUAACAGGAACAGGGAUGGACUCAAACACAGGCCCUAUGAUAGGGAAUGCAGGCAUCUCAAGACAUGUGACAUGCUAACCACUGCUCCAAAAGCCUAGCCUGCAGGCUCAAAAUUUAAAAAAUAUUUUUGUUUGUUUUUUGUGUAUUUUUUUUCGAUUGGGUAGAGUGCAAUGUCCCUACUCAGAGACUCAUCUACAAAGUCUCCAAUUUCUUUCUGGUGUUUAUAUUGAGCUUCAGUUUGAUUAGGAAGGAAUCUAAGCUAAGGGGCUGGCUCAGUCUAAUGGCCCCCUACUCCCCACAAGAAAACAUUCAACAGUACUGAAUAGUUAUUGAAUGAAUUAUCUGAUACAGGAUUGAAUCACAGUGAUGGCCUUGACUUAUAGAGGAUCAUGCUGCACCCAGAGCAAACAAUCUUCUAAAUUACAAUGGUUCAAUGAAAUAGAAGUUGUUUUUUUUUUUGUUUUGUUUUUUAUUUUUUUUUUUUUUUUUUUUUUUUUUUUUUUUGAGGCAGAGUGGACAGUGAGAGAAAGAGACAGAGAGAAAGGUCUUCCUUUGCCGUUGGUUCACCCUCCAAUGGCCGCUGCGGCCGGCGUAUCACGCUGAUCCGAAGGCAGGAGCCAGGUGCUUCUCCUGGUCUCCCAUGGGGUGCAGGGCCCAAGGACUUGGGCCAUCCUCCACUGCACUCCUGGGCCAUAGCAGAGAGCUGGCCUGGAAGAGGGGCAACCGGGACAGAAUCCAGCGCUCUGACUGGGACUAGAACCCGGUGUGCCGGCGCCGCAGGCGGAGGAUUAGCCUAUUGAGCUGUGGCGCCAGCAGGAAUAGAAGUUCUUUAUCCAUCACCUAACAGUCCAGUGUGGUUGCUACUUGCCAAGAGGUGGCUUUCUGCCAUAUAGAAUCCAAAUUCUUUCCAUUUUGAAGGGCCAAGAUCUUUAAGUGGGUCUUGUUGUCUUGUAAUCAGCAGAAGAUAUGGGAUAAAUUGUAUAAGAUCAGACCACAUCUUCUAGGGUCUGGCAUUGUGGCAUAGCAGGUAAAGCUGCCAUCUGUGAAGCCAUUCUCCCAUAUGAACGCCAUUUCCUGUUCUAGUUGCUCCAUUUCUGAUCCAGCUGCCUGCUAAUGGUUUGAGAAAAGCAGCAGAAGAUGGCACUGGAUAUCUUGGACUCUGAUAUUCAAGUGGGAAACCUGGAAGAAGCUAUUGGCUCCUGGUUUCCGCCUGGCCCAAUGAUGUCCUUGUGGCCAGCUGGGGAGUAAACCAGCAGAUUGAAGAUCUCCCUCCCUCUCUGUUUCCCUGUCUCUGUAACUCUUUCAAACAAACAAAUAAAUAAAAUCGUUUAAAAAUAAAUUAUACCAGGGCUUAAAACCUCACAUUAACAAGAACUGGACACAAAAAACAAAUCCAAAAGGAAAUAAAGCAAGAGGGUAUUUAAUUUUCUGGGAAGCUACUUGCAUGAAAAUUCUUCCUGUGACUAUACUGUAGAUAGCUUUUCAGCAUGCCUUAAGAGAGAAGAAGCAUGUGUAUUGUUUUGGAAGGGAGAUGACAUUUUCUGGAUUUCAGUUAUCUGGAUAAGGCCCUUGGAUAGGUUUUAUUGACAACCCUGUACGUGAUUUGGGUAGUAUCAGCUUUGAGGAUGCUUUUCCAAAACAAUCAAACCCAUACAACCUUUGUUUGGACCUGCAGAAAAUUAUAAGACUUGCCCAAUGAGAUUAGACAUAUGGAAUAGCUCAGAUCUCCCUGCAAUAAUUACAUCUCACCUUCUUCAAACCAGAUGUUCUCUAGUACAGGGAUAGCUGCAAGUUUGCUGAAGCAGGUGCAGGGCUUCCAAACAGUUCUACUUUUCAUACACUACAAUUUAGAAUAAAAGAAAAAGUCACUUUUCUACCUUUCAAAAUAGUCCUCAGGUUUCACUUACCAAAAGCAUCCAUUUUGAGGGAAUUGCUAGAUUUCUUUAUAUGAAUAAUCAAAUAACUCUAUCAGCAAUUGCCGCAAUCCCCAAUUUGAAGUAUGUGGGAUUAAAUGAGAAACUUGCCCAAUGGAAAUAGGCAGGUGCUAUAUAAACACAUCUGUAGGUCAUUUAGAAAUUACUAUCAUCACUCUUUUCAUUAAAGUGACAUGCAUAUAUUUAGAAACUGCUUUUCAAAAACCUAAUGAAAGACUGUCCUUGAUAACUUCUAUAUAUGCUCACCUAUAAAUCAGCAUUAAAGUCCUUUACAUAAUGAGCUGCGGGUUGUUGGAGGGGACUAUGAUCUCUGCUCUCAUUUUAUUUAUAAAAAAAAAGUAGACUGGAAAUUGAUGUUUGUAUAGAUCUUUCCUGCAUUUGUUGUCACUGUUUGCAUUUAAAGUUAUUUCCUUCACACUGUCAUAGUCUUAAGUAGUAAUUUUAUAAUAUCACUUUUCUACUAACACUGAGAAUACUGAAUUAUAAUAUGGAAAGAAUUACAUAGUUAAAGGCAUAUCAAAACCCUUGUGUAUGCUUCUUAUGUUAAAAGUCUCAGAGCAACUCUAUUGAGUUCAUUGCAUAGCUUUAGUAAAUUAUUGAUGCUUACAUGAUGUCAUGGACAAAGUGUACAUUUGUAUGUGAGAGUUACAACAGCUGUUUUCUGCCUGACCACUCAAAGUCUCAUGCAGUCUUGUCUCUCAGUCCUGUGUCUAUGGAAUCCCUCUGCUACACAACAAUGCACAGGAGGUCCAGCUAUAAACUUGUUAAAGAAAUAAUAGAUCUCUACGAUCACCUCACACACAAUUUCCAAAUUUAAUCUGCCCUGUGCAGAGUUUUAUAUGAAGUCAUUUCAUAGCGUGUGUAUAUUGAGAAAGAUAACAAGCAUACAUAAUUCACUGAAAUGGACAUCUGUCAGAGGUAAAUCACUGAUCUUUUUUUUUUUUUAACAUGGAAAUCUGCAAACAAAUCCACAGAAGCAAAAUAUAAUGCAAAUAGGAUGUUAACUUCUGAUUAAAACUCCUGUGGAUCCCAUUUAUACCAUUUCUCGAUCUGUGCUAGAAUUAAAAUCCCCCAACGCUCCAAGAAAUCUUUGGUGUAGCCAAUGCUAUCAACACUGGAGUCUCAUUUGAAAACUCAGUUUAGUCUUCACACAAAGCACGCACAUCUUAAUAUGCUCAGUUUCUACUAUUUAUUAGAUAAAUGCUUGGGUUGCUUUGAUUAUAUCUUUUUGUAUAGACAGCCCAAGCAACUGAGAGAGACUUUAUUGUGUCUCUGGUUGUGUUUUCUCUGCUUUACGGCUAUCACCUGAAGCAGUUGCCCAGUGCUAGAUGACGUCGGAGGCUUUUGGGGUUAACUACAAUCCCUCCACCAAGAUAGAUGACAGAACGGGGAGACUUAUUUAGGCUAAGGCGUUCCCAAAAGAAAUAGCUUUUUCAGAGAAAUCAAUGUGCGGUAUUUGUCUCAUUAGAGUGAUAUUACUGUUUUAUGACUAAAAGAAUGGAUUAUAAAAUAUACACCCCAACAGGAAGCUCUCCACUAUACCAGUUCUUCUUUCCACAGCAUAUUUAUUUUCCCAAUUAAAUCUGGCAGUCCCAUAAAAAUGAUAGCAGGAUGAUCACAAAAACGUGCAUUUCUUUUUCAUUUUUAGUUUCUCUUCCUUUUAAACAUCGUGCUCGUUCUAUUUGAAGGUGAAAGUACAAGCUGUGUUUUCAAGACAUGUUUUUCCUCAGUAGAAUUAUGUCAUGGGGAAACACUAUGGAUAUCCAUCAAAGUGAAACCUACAAGGACAUAAGAGCUCGUUAUUAGUGAACAUUGUUUGUAACCUUCAGAUGGCUUCAGUAUUUCUGUCACAGAAUGGCAAGCAGAAUGAGAGAUUAAAGCACAUCAUAGCCUUAAAAUUAGCAACACCACAUAAAUUAUGGUUCUUAUUCGAAUAUAAAAGGAUCUAUUUUUUAUUCUAAAGUAAUGAAUUCUUACAGCCUCUGAUAUUUGUAAUAAAAUGUUACAGUGGGUUCAAGUUCAGUCAGGUCAAGGCUGGCUUCAGGUUAACACAAUUGAUUGAAACCUGCUAAAGCUUCCUAGCAGAUAGAAGCAAUCACUUCAGUCAGGAAACUAAGCCGAGGCUCAUCCCCUUGUGGUUCUCAUGCCUAUUCUGGAUCGAGUGCUUGUUCCAAUUAUGAAAUAUUUGAAGACACGAAUGAGGAAUGUUUAGGGUUCUAUAGCACUGGAAAAUGACAGAAUGCUCUUGUUCACACCCUCCUGCAAAUGAUGGUAACUCAUUUGCAAUUAGAUCUUUUUUAAGUCUUUAAAAAUAAUUUUGAUAGGUGUUUUUUUUCUUAUCCAUGUUCUAAUAAACCUUUAACAACAUGUAAGAGCGUCAGAUGAGCGUUCAGAUGAAAAGAAUAAUUAUCUAGAAACUUUGUGGGUCCAGAUUUGGAGGGCUUUCUUUUACAUCCUCCUUCUUCCCCUCCCCCACUUUCUUUCUUCCAUUUUUUAGAUACCUCCACAUUCAAAGAGGCUUGAUGAAAUGAUGAGGAAUGUUGGGGUGUUGGAAUGAAGGCUGCAAUCUGCUGUAAUGGAAGAGGGCUUUUCUCUUUGCCACCCUGACUGAUUCAGUUAAUGUGUGUAUCUAUGACCUUGGCAAUUUUCCGCAAAUGUACUUGAAGUGAAGAGAACUAUACUUCAGGCAAAAUAUCAUAGCAAUCAAGACCUUUGGUGGCUAAAUUGACUAAAAAUAUUUGCCCUUUUUCAAUUUAUUUCGUUUCUGUUAGUAAUAGCCUUGGUUGACAGAGGGAUUACUGGGUGCUUUCAUUGGAAUUUAUGAACAGAAUUCAAGUUGGAGGAAAGUAAUUCACUGGUUUUAUGCAUGACAUAUCCUUAAAAUGAGAACCCAUUGUGCUGUAUAUAUGUUGUUUGUUUACUUGUGGAAUGAUAAUCUCCAGAGACAACAUUUGAAAAUGCAUAUUCAGGAAUUUGAAAAGCUGAGAUAAUUUGCUCUGUAUGUCAAGGACAUACGUAGACCUGAAAAUCCAUAAAAAUUGGUAAACUCUCACAUUUAAACUUUGAAACAGUACAAUUGGAACUUUUUUUUCUGUUGAGCAUCUCUCAGGAAGAUGAUCAUUCUUAUAAUUGAAAUUAUCAUAUGCAUCCUGACCCUAAUUUGGGAAAGUUUAAUAUUGGGUUCACACUAAGCAAUCAUAGAAGCAAUUAUGGGCACUUGUCCUGGGGCUCCAUAGCCCAGGUGCUGCUGACUGAUUGUCGUUUGGUAAUUACCUUGGUACUUCCCAACUACUUCAUAGCAUCAGUUAAGCCAUGCGACAUACUUCAACUAAGUGACGUCUCCUCGGAAGUGCAAGUUAAUGCUUAAUUAUUUACUUAGCUGCUGCAUAUAGGGUGCUCUCUGUUUAUCUGAAACGCUGAUGUUUAAUGAAAAUUGUCUUCUGAAAGACAUGCAUGCAAGUGACAUUAAGAUGAAAUCUUUGUCAUUUGCCACACAGUUUCUUUUGAAAUAUGGAAAUUCCUUAAAUAAUAGUGAUGAUAGAGGCAUUGCCAACUUUGGGAUUUUUUCAAGUCUUUGAAGUCUGACUUUGCAGAACAGAUUGUAAAUCUCUGGCCCAUUACACACCUGCAGAGAUUUUGGUGUUUUAUUUCUCUUGGGUGAAACUGCAGAAGCCCAAACCAUGUUAAUCACUGUCAGAACCAGUUGUAUAAAAUGCCAAAAUGCAGUGAACCAAGUGUUUUAUAAUAAAUAUGACAAUGCAGUCAGAAUGUUGUUUUGUUAGGCUUGUUAUUUGUGGUAAUUUUUCAUUUAUAAUCUUUGAAACAAGAGAGUUAUAAGGCUUUUAUCAGAAAAAUUUUUAACCACAGGGGAGAAAUCACCAUAUUGUGUAAGACUCUAAGGGCUUUUAUAAUUAAUUCAUACAAAAUUAAUAAACUAAAGUAAUGGUAGUGUUUGCUAAAAGCAUCAUAAAAUGCUUGUUUUUGAAAAAAAACACAAAUAUUAACAUCAAUCCUAAAAUUUGGCCUGCGAUGUUAAAAAGAACCAAUUUUCUUAUUGCAUUAUUUUAUGACGAUUUUCUAUUUUGUAUUUUUUUCCUUUUAACGGAAUCUUAUAUUUUAUAUAGGAUUUAGCAGAUAUUUGAGUUUGGUAUUUGAGCAUGGUAACAUACAAUAAAACCAAGGCUAGGUAAACCGCUAUUUUUCUGUGAGCUUCUACAAUGUUUAGACCCUAAUUUCAGAUUGCUUAUUCACGGCUGGAAGCUUUAAAUCAAGAUUGCAAGGUCCUGGGGCAGUAUCAUAUCCAUGUUUAUUUGCCAUUAUAUUAUAUAUCCCCAAGGAUUACUUAGCACAUAGCCAGGAGUCAAUACAUAUUUCUUUAGCAAAGGGGUUAACUAAAUGAUUAAUUGCUACAACAAGUAUGAAAAAGAAGAUAUACUAUAUUAUACCAAACUAUAUGAUUUUUGAAGAUCAGCAUAGCAGAAACUUGCUAAGCUUCUAUUGCCUUUUUUCAGCCCUGUGACUGAAUUGAAAAGAAGUAGGAUUAAAAUAAAUGCUAUGAUAUAUAUUUCUUUGUCCCAUACUGUCAGGUUUUUAAAGUUACUUCUACACACAUGUACUACAUACAAAGGCACAUUAAAAGCUGGCAAAGGGGCAGAUGUUUGAUGCAAUGGUUAAAAUGGCACUUGGGAUGCCCAUAUUUCCCAUCUGGAAGUGCGGCUUCCAUCCAGGCUCUGGUCCUGUUUCAGCUUCCUGCAAAUGAGCAUUGUGGGAGACAACGAGUGAUGGCUCAAGUAGUUGAGUCACUGGUACUCAACUGGGAGAGCAAGAUUAUCUGUCCAGCUCCUUGCUUUGGCUUGGCUCAGCCCAGACUGUUGCAGGCAUUAGGGAUAUGAAUCAGGAGACAGAAGAUCACUGUCUGUCUGUCUCUAUCUCUCUGCCUUUCAAAUAAAAAUAAAUAAAUAAAUAUAAUAAGAAUUACAUGGAAAAUGAAAAGAUGUUUAUUUUGGUUAAAAUGCAAUUAAAAGAUCAUUUUUUUGGUGCAAACUUUUUUUAAAGUACAUGCAUACAUCUUUCCCAAUAAGCAUUUCCACAUACUUACAUAAAACAUUUGAGAUCAGAAAUCUGCAGUUAGAGACUACCUGAAGCCAAGGAUAAGAAUUUUUCUACACUAUGAUGAGAAUCAGAGUAAUACAUUCUCCUCAUUUGUGUCUUGAGGGAUAUUUAGGGAACAACAUCAAUGAAAUUAUUGAAUGAAAAAAAUACCACUAAUGAAUUAUCCACAAAAAUUAAUGUGGGUACAUUUUUCAUGGCUCCUUAGCAAAGAUGUCUUUUCAAUAACUUUUGCAAUUACUAAAGCUAUUAUCCACUGAAUUUUGUGUAUGACGAGGGCUCUUGAAUACGUAUAACUUUUCAGUUUCAAUGCUCUGGGUUAUACAUCACUAACUAUUGUUCAAAGGAGAUAGAGACGCAUUGUGUCCUUCACAGACCAGUAGCUUCUGAUGAUCUAAUUUUAUCUUCAACAAUAGUUACAAGUAAGAGCAAAAAACACAGUGUGGAGCGUGCUGUUUUAGCUAUUGUACACCUACAUGAUUAGAUGGGAAUGGGCUAAGCACUGUGUAGACCAGUAUUAUUUCCAGAUGUUUCUCCACAGUCAGUGCUUAAGUUUUCCAUGGUAAUAAAAUAUGAAGUUAGAAUUAGAGAUUAUCAGAUGAGAGGCAUACACAUACCAGACAUAAGCAUUUUAGCUAAGCAUGUGAAAUCUAUGUUUCUCUUGCCAUCUUCAUACAUUUUACAGACUUAGACACAUAUAUUCUAAAGUGGUAAACUAAAAAAGACUCUACAGGUCUCCUUUAAAGCACAGCAAGCUUGAUCCUAGCAGGAAGAUAAUACCUUUCUAAUUAUUUUUGUAGAGUGUUUAGAUAUCUAAAGCAGAGUAAAGAAAUGAAUGCCCUCAUUCUUUACUCUCUCACUUCUUAAGGAUCCCUAAGGAUCACACUGUGGAACAGUAGGACAGUGGAUUAAGCUACUGCUUAUGAUGCCUGCAUCCUAUAUCAGAGUGCUGGUUCAAAUCCUGGCUGUUCCGCUCCAUCCAGCCCUCUAGUAAUGUGCCUGGAAAAGCAGCAGAUGAUGGCUCAAGUGCUUGUGCCCCUGCCACCCAUAUGGGAGACGUGGAUAGAGUUGUGAGCUCCUAGCUAUGGUCUGGUCCAGCCCCGGCCAUGGCAGCCAACUGGGGAGUGAACCAGAAUAUAGAAGAUCAUUCAUUCUCUCUCUCUCUCUCUCUCUCUCUCUCUCUCUCAGCCACCCCCCCUUACUCCCUUCUCUCUCUUCUCUCUUAUCUUUCCACCUCUUCCUCUCUUCCUCUCUCUGUGUCUCUCUGUUACUCUUCCUUUCAAAGAAAUAAAAUAAAUCUUAAAAAAAAAUUAAAAACCCCUCACUAUACCACAUUCUUGUCAGUUGUAAACACUAUGUGCUAGUUGAAGGUAUAUUGCAAUUCUCUGCUUCCAUCCCAGCUAAACUUCAACUGUAUCAUGAUCAAGUGACCACAACAGAUCUUUGAGAAAACUAAAAUCUAAUGUAAAUAAACGACAUUUCAAGUAGUUGUGAAUUAUCUCUUUUUAAAAGAUCUAUUUAUUUGAAGUCAGAGUAACAGAGAGGCAGAUGCAGAAGGAGAGAGAGAGAGAGAGAGAGAGAGAGAGAGAUAGGUCUUCCAUUUGCUGAUUCACUUCUGAGAUGGCCACAACAGCCAGAGCUGCACUGAUUCGAAGCCAGGAGCCAGGAGCUUCUUUGGGAUCUCCCACAUGGGUGCAGAGGCCCAAGGAUUUGGGCCACUUUCACAUGGCUUUGCAGGCCAUAGAAGAGAGAGCCGGCGCCGUGGCUCAAUAGGCUAAUCCUCCACCUUGCGGCGCCGGCACACCGGGUUCUAGUCCCGGUCGGGGCGCCGGAUUCUGUCCCGGUUGCCCCUCUUCCAGGCCAGCUCUCUGCUAUGGCCAGGGAGUGCAGUGGAGGAUGGCCCAGGUGCUUGGGCCCUGCACCCCAUGGGAGACCAGGAGAAGCACCUGGAUCCUGGCUCCUGCCAUCGGAUCAGCGCGGUGCGCCGGCUGCAGCGGCGGCCAUUGGAGGGUGAACCAACGGCAAAGGAAGACCUUUCUCUCUCUGUCUCUCUCUCACUGUCCACUCUGCCUGUAAAAAAAAAAAAAAAAAAAAAAAGAGAGCUGGAUCUGAAGUGGAGCAGCCAGGACUCUGACACUGCAGGUGGUGGCUUUACCUGCUAUGCCACAGCGCCGGCCCCUAUCUAUCUCUUCUUAUACUAUUCUUUUUUCCCCAAAUUUUUUGGUAAUGAGUUUUAUUAGGGUUAAAGAAAUUACUGAAGGAAACCAGAAUUUUUAAAUGAUCUUAAUUCUAAUUAAACAGCAACUUAUGGUAAUGAACCCUGAAUAUAAAUAAGGGUUAAGUUGUCAAAGAUUAAUGAUGGCAAAUCAGAUCAAAGCACUCGCAUAAUUUUUGUAAAACAGUUUGUAUGAAUUUACUACGGUGUCGCUCCCCCUCUUCGCGGAGGAACGACACAAGACCCUGCGUUGUUCUUUUGCCUGCUCGGCCCUCCCCGGGUUUGCUGCUGGUUCUUCCCGGGUUGGCUACCGACCCUUCCACCUCCGUGGAAGGGCGGUUCCCCCUGCCACUUUCCCCACUUCCGCGGGGGAGUGGCACACCGCCGGCCAGCUCUCUCGGGGGCUGCUCAGAUGUUCCUCAGGUGUUCCUGGUGCAUGUUGUCUCUCUCCUCCUUUAUAGUCCUCUUCCGCCAAUCCCAAUUCUGCUACCCACACGCCGAGUACGCUGCUCUCCUCCAAUCAGGAGCAGGUCCUGCUGUUUAUUGGUUGAACUGGAGGCAGCUGUGUAGAAGCUGUUUCCUCCUCUCCCAGGGCCAUAUUGUGGGAGAGCAGAUGCAUAGAAUAAGUCUUAAUUCCAGUAACAGUCUAGUCCGAGUUGCUCCCCACACUACGGAAAGAAAGUCUUACUUGCACUUAAAAUUUUUUGUUCUUUUCUCAUAAUUUGUGGAACUGUGAAAUAGCAAUAAUUUAAAAAGGUAUAGUGCAAGUGUCUGAAGAUCCAUUGACUAUAUCCCCUUGGUCUUUGACACAUCCCUCAAGUAUUCCUGUGUUAAAGAAAAAUUAACUUCAUGCAGUAAUCCUAAAGGAAAUCACCACUGGAAUUUUAUAAGAUAUUUAAAUAAAAUUAUGAUUUUUUAAAUGACCCAAGAUAUAUUUUGGGACCUCAAGGACUGAAAGAAAUAUUUUUAUUUAAACAAUUGCAAAAUUAAAAGACAGAUUAAAAGAGAAAUUACAUUCCUGUCUAAAAAGACUAUCAAACGCAAAAAAAAAGUAUGGAAGAAAGUCAUAGGUCUUUCAUUACAUUAAUGAUUGUAAAUGCUGAGCUACACUGACUUUGAAAAAAAUUAUGGGUUUUGUUUAUAUAAUUUUGUAUCUAUAUACGUUUAAUUCCUAAAGAUCAACCAGAGACAAGUUUAACUGGACAGAGCACAAUCAAAUGGAGUUGGAUUAUACAGGUAUCCAGGGUCACAUUAAAGAUGUUCAGCUAUUUUGAGGCCUAAUAUCAGAAAUUCAGUAAAGUGCCAAAAAUCCUAUUUCUAACUCAUUCUUAGUGCUACAUUGUCACUAUCCAGACUUUUAUUGACUUCCCAGAGAGGAAAUAUUUAGUCCUUCAUUUAUCAUCAAAUAUUUUAACUAAUUACUGUAUACUAUACACAUAUUCAUAAUAUAUUUUAUAUUUUGUAAUCUCCAAAAUAAGAUUAUCCUAUAAGUAUACUAGCCACAUUUUCAAUGAGAGGACAUUCAAUCAGCAAUGAAAUACUGUUCAAAACUGAUGGCCCUUACAUGAUCGUGGGGGUGGAAUUGGAAGUCAAAUCUAUUUGAUUCCAACUAAAGUUCUUUCCACUACAUAACUUCACUUUUUCUUCCAGUCUUUUAUUACUAUUCAACUUCUCAUCCUUUCCAAUAAAGACAAAUCCACUCUCUUUUUAGUUCCCAAGAAGGAAGUGAAAGAACAGAAAAUUCAAGUUACACGCAACAAUAAUAACACCAAACUGAUUUUGAAUUGGAGACCAAAUGAUUGCUGGUCUACUGAAACUUAAUGUACAAAAUGUUUUCUCAACCUUUAACUUAUAUAAAUAAAAAGUUUCAAAAUUUAGCUACCAAUUACUUUCUUCAGAUAAUUCAGCACAAUUAACCCUUCUAAGUGAAAACAUUUCAAUAUCAUAUUUCCAAGGCAAUUAUACUCUAAGAUAAAAUAUGUUGUACUAGUAAUGAAUGUACUGAUGAUAAUUUCCAUAUUGUUGUAUAUAUUUCAGUAACCACUUUUAAGUUACCUAAGUACAUAUAAUAACAAAUAGACAUUGGAUACCUGUGAUGAUCAGUUUUUAUUCUAAACAUCCCAUACCAUGUAAUUUAAUCUUCAUAAUAACCCAAUAAAAUAGAAACUAACAACAUCCCAUAGUCAAAAUCAUUGUCAAAUACACCUAAGUGCAUGGACUCCAGAUCCUCCAUACUAGAAUGCUUUGUACUGUAGGUUUUCCUCUUAUAUGACUCCUGAAUUAUAGGCAUGUUCCUUAACUGCACUUGAGAUUUAGCAUAUUAUUAUAAACUAUAUCCCAAUGGAUUGAGUAACUGAAGUAGUAAUGUGAAGUAGUGUGACAUUUGUAAUACAAUCUCGCUGCAGGGACCAUGAGACAAAGUUUUUGUAUAAUUAGCAGCAGAGUUAACUAAUCGGUUGAUUAAUUUAAACUACUUGAACCAUCAUUUUAUUACUCUCAUUGGAAAUGUACCAGAGGAGAAAAAAUUAGAGUGAAACAUGCUAAGAAUGUAAUAUAUGAAGGAAAACUCUAAAAAGAAAAUGAAGCUGUUGAACAUACUAGAAAUUAUUCAAGAGACUAAGAAUUUGUCAUUAAUGCAUAGAUGUAUAAAAAGUAGACAGAACAUUACCUACAAGCCUAUAUAUUAGGCAAAGAAGAUACGCAUGGUUAUUAACUAUUUAUUUUGAAUUUCUUCCUGUUAUCUUAAUGAAAGGUAUCAUCCUGUCAGUGUUUCUGAGGAAGAUCCUUUUUUGGCUACCCCCAUACCCAAAUUACCGCACAACUUCACAGGCAACAUUUUAAAAUGUUUUCAAUAAUAAUUUGUCUUAAAAGUGACAAGUUUUAAGAACUUAAGAAAAUAUCUAUAUUUAAAAUAUAGUGCCACAAAGACAGUGUUUUCAAUGAACUAGAAGAAGCAAAAUGUUUCUAUUGAAACUUUCCUUAAGCAAGUAAAUAUUUCACAGCUAUCAAAACAUUUAUGAAAUUCACUAGAUAGUUAAAUGGAAAAUAUUUCCCACUUGCCAGAUCUGCUCCCACUUUCAUUUUAUUUGCUCUUAUUUUCUGCUGUUUUCUUAUUUGUAAUGAGUUCAUAAUAAUGAACAUGAUAUUUGGUUAAUGAAGAAUGCAUUUCAUAUUUAGAGAUCUACAUAUUUAUGUGACCUUCUUUUGUUCCUAAAUGCUAAUAUUUAUUCCCUCUUUGUUGAGAUUUAUUUUGUGUUUUGUGACAAACAAAAGUACGAUUAGUGAAGCUGUAAAGUUCUCAUGGUAGCGGCCUGUGUUCCCAAGAUAGCAGCAUUAGUGUCUACAGAAGCAGUUAAUGCUGUUUAUCAUUAGUGACAGAGGCUGGGAAGGACCUUCUGUGGCUUUUAUCUUUCACCUUGCCAACAGAAGUUGAUGAGCUUUCUGAUUUAAAUUCAUAGGUGAUGCUCCAGGAUUUUUAUGCACUUCACAUGGACAAGCACACAGGUAAACCUAUCCAGCUGAUGGAGUCUAAUUAAAAUCAUCCUAACAUUCUAAUACUGGACAUCCAUGGGAAAAUCACACUUUAUCCAUAUUUAAUGUCAGAGUUGCCCAAUGGAAAAUGAAUAAUAAUAUAGCUUAUGGAAUAAUUAUCCCCUUUCUGCCUUAGACAGUGUUUAUCAUAUUAUGCCAUGACUUAUUUUAGGGACAUACCAAGUAAUGAAUGUAAGGCAUAUUUUUAUGAUAAACAUUUUUAUUAAUUUGAAUUGUAGUAGCUACAGGUAUUUUACGACAAGGGAAUUCCAGUGGUGUGGCACAUUUGAAUAAAUAUUGAUCAUUUCUCGUGUAUAAAAUUUUCCAGUGUGUGGACAAAUGACAGUCAUCAAUAGAAAAUUAAAAUUUGCAGUGUGAUUUAUUUGAUUUUAAGUGAAUGUUUAGGCAGCUUUUGGUAUUAUAGAAUUGCUUUCUACUUUAAGAUUGUGUUAUAUAUUGUCCAAAAAUAUAAUAUAGAAUUUAGUAUUCCCUAAAUUUUUCAGAAAUCAUUGUGUGUGAUUGAUUUUCUAUGUUCUGAUAUUAGAAACAUCUCUCUGUAAUUGGAGAUCACACACUAUAAUGUUUUAAAAUUUUAAAUUGAAUAAAUCUUAUUAAAUUAUUACUAUGCUUUCUAAAAAACUGAACAAUUUUGUCUUGGCCACAAAAUAAAAUAUAAGCUCUUUACUAUAAAAUGGAUCUUACUUGUCUAUUCACCUAUUCAUUUUUUUCUCAUUGCAUUUUUCUCCCUCAGACUUACAAGCUGUCAUCUCAACUCCUCUUGAUUUCCUUCCCUCCACUUCACAAUAAAUAUUCCCUCUUCAGAGAAAUCUGUUUCUCUUGCCUUUCCUUUAAAAAUCUACUGUUUCCACACAUGCCUAUCUUAGCACCCUGGGUGGUAGUUGGCACUACAUUAAUUACUGACUUUAUUUAGUGUGUGUGAGACAUAAGCUGUUGAGGACACACUGGAUACCUCAUACUCACCAUCUAACCCUAAGAAUGACACCAACCACAACCUGGGUAUACUGGAUUCUUGAAAUUGACAAAGUUUCAGUAUGAAGGGAGAAUUACUUUUUUUGUCUUCUAUGAAAAUAUAAAUACUUAAGGCUGGCACUGUGGCGUAGUAGGUUAAGCCUCUGCCUGCGGUGACAGUUCAAGUCCUGGCUGUUCCACUUCUGAUCCUGCUCCCUACUAAUGUGCCUGGGAAAGCGGUGGAAGAUGUCCCAAGUCUUUGGUCUCUUGCACCUGCAUGGGAGACCUGGAAGAAGCUCCUGGCUUUGGAUCAGCUCACCUCUGGCCAUUGCAGCCAGUUGGGGAGUGAACAAGAAGAAGGAAGAUAGAUCUCUCUACUCUCUCUCUCCCUCUCUGUCUGUAACUCUAUUUCUCAAAUAAAUAAAACAAAUCUUAAAAAAAUACUCAAAAUGAUACAAAAUAAACUAACUUGUUUUCAGGAAAUAAAAGAUAUUGACUAAUAUUUAUUAGAGAUAUCCAUCAAUGUAAUAUUUGAUGUCAUAUUUUUAAGUUUUACUAAUGAGGUUAAGAUAUACUGAAAAGGAGUGCUUAAAGUAUAAAUUUAGGGACUUAAGAAGCAUGAGUUAGUUAAAUUUAAAGCAAUAUUACAAAGAAAUGAUUUGAAUAUUCAAAAGAACAAAAAUUUUGACAUUGUAAAUUCACUUAUGUUUACCACAAUUUCAUGAGGACAGUUUAAGUGCUCCUGACCAGGAAAUACUACUAGCCAAAAAUGUGUAAAAUUGUUAUCACAGGUAGCUGUGAGUACAUCCAAAAUUUAUUUUUAAAUAAAUGAAAUUUUAGUGUAUAGCUGUUUAUUUUAAACUCUAGAUUUUAGACUAACAUAGAAAUAAAUCUUUAUGAUUUCCUAAGUAACUAAAGAAAAAGAAAUUUGAAAUUAUUGAUCAAGUGAGCCCGUCUUUGGAAACUGAUUUGAGUUUACUAUGAGAUUGGUUUCUGGACUUCAGAAAUUCAGAUGAGGGAGGCAAACACUUUGCUUUUCAUGUUCACCUCUCAAAACAUUGCAGUUUCAUGCAAUUUUGCUCUUACUUUAAUGAUAUCAGCUGUAUAAUCUCAUUUCUUUUGCAAGAGAAAGGCAACAGAGUAAAGAGAAUAGCCUUUAGUAAUAACAAGACUCUCUACACAUCAAUAUUAUACCCUUCAAAGGGAUCUGAAUUCCCAGUUCCAAGUAAUUGUGACCCACAAAAUUGUUUUCUUUUUUCAUCAACAAAAAAACAUUUUAUUCAACUUGUUAUGUUUUUGGUGCUCCAUUAAAGUCAUUUUGUAAUACUGACAACUGUUACACUCUAAAGACUAAAACAGUGGCUUUUAUUCUAUAACUGAAGUUGAUGCCACAUUCAGUUUCCCUUCUUUCCUGCGACCCAUAUUAUUCUCUGACAUCUUUCGAAAAAUGCACAUUCUAUGCAAGAAAGCUUUGGCAAACAUUUCUAUUUUUCAAUCUGUUUGCAGAAGUCAGCACCAGCUGAAUGAACAAGUCUUUCUAAAAAAUAUGACGUUCUUUGAUAAGCAGAGGAUUUUGUUCCCUUUAAAAGAGUAGAGUUGAGAUUUCUUCCCCAUAUUUCAUAAAUCAUCUUGGUUCUUGCAUGCACAUUAAGAUGCAUUAUUAAAUAUUGAUCAUAACUUUCAAGAGUAUUCAAGUUUUAAGAGCAUAAAGAUUUUCAUGACAACCAAGAAAAAAUAAGAUGUAAGAAAAAUGCAAAAGUUAUCCCACACAAAUGAUGUAUAAUAGUAACACUUUUGAAGGUAAGGUUCUAAUGUCAAUUCAAAGUUAAUUAUUACUAUUCUCAUAUAUAUAAAAUAAAUGUGGCUAGUCUUGUUUUAUAUUCAAUGCAGAAUAUCUAUUGUAGGAAUCAGAAUAAAUAUAUGUUCAUUUUAACAAAGGUUCAUACUAUAUAAUUUGUGUAUAUAUUAUAUAAAGCUAUUCUCAUAUGCAUAUAUAAUGUGGGAUCUAAUUUUAAGCUAUUAAUAGUUUAAUUUCUUUUUUUUAAGAUGUAUUUUAUUAAUUUGAAAGGCAGAGCCACAGAGAGAGGGAGACUCAAAGAGAGAUCUUCCAUCUGCUGGUAUAAUCCCCAAAUGGUUAAAAUACCCAAGGCUGGGCCAGAUCAAAGCCAGGAUCCAGGAGCUUCAUCCAGAUCUCCCACAUAGGCUGUAUGGGUCCAAGGAUUCAGGCAUCUUUUGCUGCUUUCCCGGGCACACCAGCAUGGAGCUGGGUCAGAAGCGAAGUAGCCAGGACUCAACCCAGCACCCAUAUGGGGUGCUGGCAUUACAAUGCUGGCUCUAAUAGUUUAAUUUUAAUUAAAUAUGACUAAUUUUGUUGAACUCCAAGAUAUGCUUGAGAAAAUAUCAAUGUUGCUGUUUUAUCAACCUUCUUAUUUUCUUUCUUUCUGCUUUAGAGUUGGACAUUUAUUUUUUUUAACCUUUAUUUAAUGAAUAUAAAUUUCCAAAGUACAGUUUAUGGAUUACAAUGGCUUCCCCCCCAUAACAUCCCUCCCACCCGCAAUCCUCCCCUUUCCCGCUCCCUCUCCCAUUCCAUUCACAUCAAGAUUCAUUUUCGAUUCUCUUUAUAUACAGAAGAUCAGUUUAGCAUACAUUAAGUAAAGAUUUCAACAGUUUGCAUCCACAUAGAAACACAAAGUGAAAAAUACUGUUUGAGUACUAGUUAUAGCAUUAAAUCUCAAUGUACAGCACAUUAAGGACAGAGAUCCUACAUGAGGAGUAAGUGCACAGUGACUCCUGUUGUUGACUUAACAAAUUGACACUCUUGUUUAUGGCCUCAGUAAUCACCCUAGGCUCUUGUCAUGAGUUGCCAAGGCUAUGGAAGCCUUUUGAGUUCACCAACUCUGAUCAUAUUUAGACAAGGUUGUAGUCAAAGUGGAAGUUCUCUCCUCCCUUCAGAGAAAGGUACCUCCUUCUUUGAUGACCUGUUCUUUCCACUGGGAUCUCACUCGUAGGGAUCUUUCAUUUAGUUUUUUUUUUUUUUUCUUUUCCCCAGAGUGUCUUGGCUUUCCAUGCCUGAAAUACUCUCAUGGGCUUUUCAGCCAGAUCCGAAUGCCUUUAGGGCUGAUUCUGAGGCCAGAGUGCUGUUUAGGACAUCUCCCAUUCUAUGGGUCUGCUGUGUAUCUCACUUCCCAUGUUGGAUCGUUCUCUCUCUUUUUGAUUCUAUCAGCUAGUAUUUGCAGACACUAUUCUUGUUUAUGUGCUCCCUUUGGUUCUUAGUCCUAUCAUUAUGAUCAAUUGUGAACAGAAAUUGAUCCCUGGGACUAGUGAGAUGGCAUUGGUACAUGCCACUUUGAUGGGAUUGAAUUGGAAUUCCCUGGUAUGUUUCUAACUCUACCAUUUGGGGCAAGUCAGCUUGAGCAUGUCCCGAAUUGCACAUCUCUUCCCUCUCUUAUUCCCACUCUCAUAUUUAACAGUGAUCACUUUUCAGUUAAGUUUCUAGAGUUGGACAUUUAAAUAUUUGCCCAAAUAACUGGAUAGCAAAUAUCCAAUGAGAGAACAGUAUGUUCAUAUUUUAAUAUAAAAUUAAAUGUAUUUAUAAAUAAUGGUUUUCAAGGCCAGCAAUAUGGCAUAGCAGGUUAAGCCUCCAUCUGAGUGCAGUGCCAGCAUCCCAUAUAGGUGCCAGUUUGUGUUCUGGCUGCUCCUCUUCCAAUUCAGCUCUCUGCUAAUACAUCUGGGAAAGCAGUGGAGGAUGGCCCGAGGUCUUGGGGCCCCGUAACUGCACGGGAGGCCCAGAAGAAGCUCCUUGCUCCUGGCUUCCGAUUGGUCCAGCUCCAGCUUCUGUGGCUAUUUAAGGGAUGAACCAGCAGAUGGAAGACCUCUCUCUCCAUCCUUCCCUCUCUCUAUCUGUAACUCUGCCUUUGUAAAUAAAAAUAUAUCUUUAAAAAAUUGGUUUUCUUCAUUUUAAAUGUCCUCCAAAUCUACCUUUUCUUUUGAUUGAAAUGAUCAAUUAUUAUUUUUUGGUGAUGGAUACUAAGAUACAGUAAAAUCAUGGUUACAAAAAUAGCUACUCUAGAUACCAUCCUAGUUAAUAAGCAUUGUAAUAGCAAGAUGAAUUUAACACACUAGCUAGACAAAAAAUAUUUGUUUAAUGCAUUAGUAUAGCCUUAAAACAAAAGGCAAGAAUAGAAGCUUUCAACCUCAAUACUUUAGAGAUAAAAAUAUAAAAUAUGAAAGCAUAUCUAUGAAAUCAUUAAACAAACAGGGCUGUUUCUUAUUAGUAAAUAUGUGUACCGCUAUAUUUUAUUCUAUCUAUAAACAUAUAGCUUGUGUCCCUGUGUGUUGAAUAUAUAAAAAGAAGGGAUAUAAAGCAUGCAAAAGCACAAACAGCUGAUUGCAAACUGAAUUCCAUAGUAACAUCUUCUGCAGAACACAGUACAGUGAAUAAUUGCCAACUUUAAUUCUCAUGUUUUCAGCUGAUUAAGCAUUACUUGUAAUGGGGGAGAAAACAAACUUCAUUUGAUUCUGGAUCUGGGUAAUUUUGGCGACUGAUCUAUUGGGAGUUGAUAUUGAUGGUGGAAGUGUGAAGCCAAUAAGUCAGAAUUAUGUGCAGAAGUGUUUGCUAGCAAUUUGUUUUUAAUAAUGUAACAACUUGUGUUUGUAAAAAGAACCACAAUUAUUCAUUCCUUUUCAGUAAAAGCCACAAAAUACUUUGCUCAAAGUCUGUUUGCAAUGAUACAUGAUUUUAGUAUCGAGAUUUUUUUUUUGAAAGUUUAUACUCUGCUCAACAAAGUAAAACUUGGGGCUCCUAAGUUUCAAGCUAUUAUGAGAAGUUUCAGUAUCCUGAGUAAGGCUGUAAGAUGCGGAAGGAACCCUCAGUAUCCAGGGGUUGACGGUGCUGACAAAUCCCUACCCUUACUUGAGUCUUCCACGUCUUGAUUUUCAAUGCACUUAUAAGGAAUCCCUAUAUUGCAAAGGCAUAGAGGACCUUAGCCUGGUAUUAUCACUCUGGCAUCCACAGAACUCUGUUACCCAACACAUUUUUAAUCUCAUCGAGCCCAUUAUUCUACGUCACAACCACUAGGACUAAAACACACAUAUAAUCAAUUAUAAAUAAUGAAUUCUGGGGUGGGCAUUGUGGCACAGGUAUUAAGAUAACUGCGAGACACCCACAUGCUAUAUCAGAGUGCCUAAAGUCAAGUCCUCCUUCUUCCUCCAAUUCAGUUUUUUGCUACUGUGCACAUUGAGAAAUAGCAAGUGAUAGCUCAAGUUCUUGAGUCUCUGCUACCCAUGUGGGAGACUUGGAUGGAGUCGCUAGCUCCUGCCUUCAGCCUGGCCCAAUCCUGACUUUUGUGAUCAUUUGGAGGGGUGAAAAACAGAUGGUAUCUCUCUCUUUGUCUCUCCCUCCAUCUCUAUCUUCCAGUUUCUUUGUCAUUCUGCCUUUCAAAUAAAGUCUUUAAAAAAAAAAAAAAGAACUAAUUCUGUAACUUUGCAGUGUAACUAUCAGAGAGUAAUUGUGCAAAUAUAUGUCUUGUAUUUACAUACAGUAAUCCUAAUUCCUUAUUUAUGAAAUAAAAGUUAUAAGCUAAAACAUUAACAAAAUCAAAAAUACUCACAUAAACAUGGGAAAUUGUUAUUGAAAGCUUUUUCUGAAAAUUGUAGGCUGAGGGUAGUAGUGGCAGGAAAAGUGCUUAGUUAAUUCUAGGACAGCCUAGAGCUCUCUAUCAGGUGUAAGCAGCAAGCACAAAGACAGGUCUGGGAGUCACUUUGGACAAUAAGCAGUGAACGUAUCUCUUAGACAGAGAUACAGCGGGAGAGGGAAUAAUGUUAAAAGCUGUACUGAGUGCUGAAUUGAGCCCUAUUGAAUAUCUUACAUUAGAUUACUUUCUUACCAUUAUUCUGCUUCCCAAUUCAUGGUUACUACAUAUUUACCUAAAUAAAACAAGGCAUUGAUGAGUAAAUUAUUCAUCAAAUACAGCAAAGUAUCUGCAAGUAUUUCAACUACCUCUGCUUAAUAAUUAUUCACCCUAUUCAUGAAUUUUUGAUGUAGUAUGGUAUUUUAUUUCAGCACAGCAAUCUAUAUUUAAGUCUACUAUGCACAUCACUCAAAAACUAAAGUUUGAUAGAUAAUAAAAUUUUAAAUUUUCUGAAUGUUACAUUAUUAGUAUAAUUGAUUGACUUCAUACAAUAAUCAAAUUGUAAUUAAGCCAAAUAUUUGAUUAUUUUAAGCAGAUUGAGAAAUUUUGGAUAUUUUGUGCUACUAUGUUAUAAAAUCUUACCUAAAACACCUGUAUCAGUAAGAUUGUCAACACUUAGGUCACAAAAUUUAGACACAGCUUAAAGAAAAUAUGAAAUUACAGAUUAUUGAAAAUACCCUAAAGAAAUAUCCUAAACACAUCUUGUAAAAGACUGUAAGAAAAAAAAUUAUUGUAAAAAUAAUUUCAAUAAAGUGUUUCACAUAAAAUUAUUUUUAAUUUCAUUUUACAAUAUUUUUGAAGGGCCUCUUACACAUUAUCUUUUAUGAGUUAUAUUACUUUAAGAUGUAUUUGUUUAUUUGAAUGGCAGACAGAGGUGGGAGGAAGAAAGAGAGAAAUAGUCUAUCUAUUGAUUCACUCCCCAAAUUGCUACAACGGCAGGGCUGAGGCAGGCAGAAGCCAGGAGUAAGGGACUCCAUUCAGGUCUCCUACCUGAGUGGCAGAGACCCAGGUAUUUGAGCCAUUGUCUGCUCUUUCCCAGGCACGUUAAAGGGAGCUAGAUAGGAAACUGAGCGGCCAGGACUCAAACUAGUGUUUGGAUAUGGGAUGCCAGCCUGUAAGCCACAGCUCAACUCACUGUGCCACAGGCUAGCCCUGAGUAUGUUAUUUUUUAACCUUGGAUAUACAGGAGUUUUAAAUUUUUAUGUAGUGACUAUUGAUCUUUUCCUACAGGAAAACGGAAAGCUUAUAUACCUAGUAACAUACAAACAUUUUUUUUGUAACCACAUUGGCCAGUCCCUCAAAGAAACAAUGAAAUCUGUGUUUUCUAAGACAAAAAGCAAUGUGUAUUCUUUGUGUGGAAAGCAGGGAGGAGAGUGUAUAGAUUAACUGACAGCAGGAGAGAGAAUUCCAGACAUGGCCCAUUUGUUAAUGUUUAGAAGUGCAUGUCCUAUGGCCAUCCACAAAUAAAUAAAACUUAAUCAUGGAUAUAUUUUGGUAAAUACUUGUUCAUCCUUGUUUUAUGAGGUUGGGCUACGAUAUAGUAAAAUCUAUUGAAUGAAUAAUAGCACAGGGAAGAAUUGAUUUUGGGCAGGUUCACAUUGUUAAGACCUAUUUAUUUGAAUGAUUCCUUUCUUUCCCCCUACUAUAGAGAAUAUAGUUUUUAAAAUUAUGUUGAACAUUGACUUUCUUUUGUCACUGAAAAUACCCUUUAAGAAACACUUUUCCUGUAGCGGGCAGAGAAGGUGUUUGAUAAAUGAGAUGCCUUAUGAUUGUACAAACUGAACAACAUCCAACUUAACUUAAAAUUGGAGAUGUGAUUCUGAAAAAGAUUCUACUGAACUUGUUGCUUGAAAAGCAAACAUUCUAAGAACAAUUGAAUAUCAUCUAAUUUGUAUUAAUCGAUAUGUUUAAACAAAUAAUGUACAUAAUACAACAAAGGUCUAUGAGAAAAAUUGUGCAGCAUGGAGUAUUAUCUUCUUUACGAGAAUUAUAACAAAAAAAAAAUCUCUUCUUUCCCUUAAUACGUUACAUGCAUCCUGGUAUUCAUAGCAGUGGGAGGAUGUGAGUAGAGUACACCAGCUUUUUGAAAAUGAUUCUGUUCUUGAGAUAAAUUUGAUGGCUAAUUAAAUGGAAAGUUGUUUUUGGUGAGGAUUUCUUUGAAGAAGAUGCCAUAGUCAAUAAACUCUCCAUAAUGAGCACGUUUUUGAGCUAUGGUUUCCAGUCAUGGAAGAGAAAGAAUGAAUCGAAAUCUGAAGCGGGAGUAGAGCAAGGAGGCAGUGGGAAGCUGUUGAAUGAGAAUGGGUGGGUGAAGGACUCCACAGAGCGAUGGAGGAAGCUGUGGAAUACAAAAUCACAGCAGUGGGUACCUGGGGUGUCUAUUCCUACAAUAGCGUCUGUCGGAGCAUCCCGAUUCUGCUUUGCUUCUUGUCCCUGUGGAAUGCUCAAUGCCGCAGCUGGAUUAGACACCCUGCUUUCAAACCUUGGUUGUGCUUCUCAUUUGCAGUGUGUUUGCAGUUAAGUACUUACCCUCUUAGUGCUUAGUUUCUUAUUUGCGACUGGGCAUUGCAAGGUUUACCAAGGGCUCUGAUGGAAAUUACAGGAAACUGUAAACAAAAGCAUAUUGAGUACCCUAUUUUGUACAAUAAAGAUUGCUCUUGAAGAGUGAGAAUGACGAUAGUCAGGAAACUGGGGGAUUGUCAAAUUCAUGAAGUACAGACGUUGAUGGAGGAAAUCUCCAGCUAGUUUACUGGAAAACGAGGUCCAGGACAAUAUGCUUCUUUAGUUGCAUUUAGUAUGAGAAGGAGGGGGGCCUCUUUCUCAACUGUGUAAUACGUCAUUCCCUUGAGUAUGUUUAUGGUUUCCAUCCUCACUUGGCUCUAACUUUACUCUCAAUUCUACCAAUACUAAUAGUUCCAUAGGCAUGUCAUGCCUCCUGGCUAAAGCCUGGAUUCCUAAAACAGUGUCUUUGGAUAAGAAUUAUUGUGAAGGUUUUAGUUUAAUCAGGCUAACUCUAGGCAUUAAGAGGAAAGAUUCUGUAGGAAGCAGCAGAUUUGGAUGUUUGGCAUAGUGGCGAGGACACUUCUAGAGAUGCAUGGGUCACCACCCCUUCUUCCAAUAGCAGCUUCCUGCUUAUGCACACUCUAGGAGGUUGAAGGUGAUGCACAAUACUUCAGUUCCUGCCACCCAUGUGAGUUACUUGGAAUGAGUUCUGGGCCCCUGAGUUUGGUUUGGCUCAACCCUGGCUCUUGGGAGCAUUUGGGAAGUGAAUGAGCAGAUGGAAGAUCUAUCUGUCUCUGUAUCUUUCAUUGCCUUUCUAAUAAAUAAAAAUAAGUAACAUGGGCAACAAAAUAGUUUAAAAAAAUAAUAAAAACAUUUUCUAAAAAAGAUGAUAGCAAAGAGAGUUUGAAAGUAGGCCAGGAUGGCCGGCACCGUGGCUCACUAGGCUAAUCCUCCGCCUGCGGCGCCAGCACACCGGGUUCUAGUCCCCGUCAGGGUGCCGGAUUCUGUCCCGGUUGCCCCUCUUCCAGGCCAGCUCUCUGCUGUGGCCAGGGAGUGCAGUGGAGGAUGGCCCAGGUGCUUGGGCUCUGCACCCCAUGGGAGACCAAGAGAAGCACCUGGCUCCUGCCUUCGGAUCAGCGUGGUGCGCCGGCCGCAGUGCGCCAGCCAUGGCAGCCAUUGGAGGGUGAACCAACAGCAAAAAAGAAAACCUUUCUCUGUCUCUCUCUCUCACUAUCCACUCUGCCUGUCAAAAAAAAAAAAAAAAAAAAAAAAAAGUAGGCCAGGUUACUGUGUUUAGUGUAGAUGUUUGGAAACAUGAUCUACCGCCCGCCCCAGGCUAUUUAUAGGUCCUGAAUAUCAUAUGGAAAUUGUUCUAUUUUGUAUAUAGACUACAAUGUUUUUCAAAAGCAGAUAGGGUAUAAAAAUAAACAAAUAUGAGUUGGUAUAAAUAAAACAUAAAGGUAAUGUCUCUUUAAUUAAAUAAAAUUGUCAAAUUCUUCUUUCUUUUUCUUAUCUUGAAAUAUGUGUUACGACUGAGCAGAGUAAUUUGCUUUGCACUUAGCUGACACCGGUGUUCAUCUUAUUUUGAAGUGGUAAAUGUGUAUUGAUGCAGAUGCAUGUUUUUUUUUCCCCCUAAUAUUGGCAAUGAACAACUGAUUGAUUGAAACACUAAAUUCAUCUAUGACCUUUGAUAGGCAAAUCUCACAACAGGGAAAUUUAUAGUAAUUAAUUUUAUGUUUUCCUUUUUUCUUUUAAAUAUUUAUUUAUUUAUUUGAAACCGAAGAGCUGGAGAGAGAGAGAAAGAGAAAGAGAGAGAGAGAGAGAGAGAAUCUUCAUCCACUGGUUCAUUCCCCAGAUGGCUGAAUGCUCAGCACUGGGCCAGGACAAGGCCAGGAGCCAGGAGCUUCUUCACCACCUCCCAUGUGUGUGGCAGGUGCCCAAAUACUUGGGCCAUUUUCCAUUGCUGUCCUCAGGCCAUUAACAGGAAGCUGGAUCAUAAGUGGAGCAACUGGGAAGCAAACCAGUGCCCAUAUGAGAUGCUAGCAUCACAGGCAGGAGCUUUACCAGAUCUCCCAAAAUGCUGGACUCUAGUUCUUUAUUUUCCAUGUAAUUUCUUAUAUAAAACAGAAAAGUUGAAUUUCAUGUAUUAAUAUUUAUUGACUAUUACUUCGAAAUAUAUAGUGAUAUAUAUUUCCAAAUAAUUAAAAGUUCUGUGAUAAUCAUUUCCAAAAUGAAUAAUUCUAGUUAGUGAUUGUGAUUUAUGGACAUAGACACUUUAGAUAGAGUGCCCAAGCUACUGGAACCCACAAAGCCUCUUUUUUUAGUUUUAUAAGAUCAUUUGACCCUUAUUGAACAAACUACUAAUAAUUUUAAGUCAGAUACUUUGUGUAAAAGGAGUUGAUACAAAUGUCACCAGGGGUUUUUAUGCACUGCUCUUGAAUCUAUCAAAAUAUUAGUUUAUAGAUUAAAAAAGCAAACAUGUUUUAGGAAAAUAUCUCUUCCUCUGUGUGUCUCUCUGUGUGUGUAGAUAUGAAUUAUAUAUACAUAUAUAUGCAUAUAUAUGAUAUACUUUGACAUAAAACAUUUCUCAUUUUAUUUUUUCAAUAAGCCAAGGAAAGCUGUGCAAUAUAUGGGGUAUGAUUUUCUCGAGUGAUUGAUGUUUUAGAUAGCCCAGUAUUACCAUAGCCAGGAAAUUCUGGCCAAUUAAGGAGGAAAAUAGAGAACCAUCAAUCAAAUCAAAAUUGACAACCACCUCACCUCCUCCAUUAAAAAGCAUAGUUACACAAAUCAUAUUCGUCCAUCUAGUCUCUUUUUGAAAGGUAUCAUCACGUCCUAUGAUUUUCUUUCCUGUACAUACCAUGAUACAUAAUGCAUGGUAGAAAAGAGUACAUCGUAAGUUGCCUUCAAAAAACAAGAUGUAUUUUAAUGAAUGUACUUAACCUAGACCUGUGAGGAAAUGGAACAGCUGAAAUUCUGUUAUCCUCUUCUCUAUGACCUGAGUGUGUGGAUACUUAUCCAGGAUGUUGGACUAUUAUCUUGUGUUGGAUUCAAAACAAAGCCUACACAUUGAUUCUUUUGCUUGAAGCUGUGCCCUGUAAUGUCUUCUUCUAGGUAAAUUUUAUUAAUUGAUCACUCAAAAUAGUUAUAAAAGCCUACUUUCAGCUGAUAAAUUUUCAUAGUGAAAUAUUAUUUAAUCAGAAAACAGCACAGGAUACUAGAGAAUACAAUAUGAUGCCAGAAAUAGUGUUCUAGUCCCAGUCAGGGUGCCGGAUUCUUUCCCGGUUGCCCAUCUUCCAGGCCAGCUCUCUGCUGUGGCCAGGGAGUGCAGUGGAGAUGGCCCAAGUCCUUGGACCCCGCACCCACAUGGGAGACCAGGAGGAAGCAGCUGGCUCCUGCCUUCGGAUCAGCGUGGUGCGCCAGCCGCCGCGGCGGCCAUUGGAGGGUGAACCAAUGGCAAAAGGAAGACCUUUCUCUCUGUCUCUCUCUCUCACUGUCCACUCUGCCUGUCAAAAAAUAAAAUAAAAUAAAAUAAAAUAAAAUAAAAUAAAAUAAAAUAAAUAAAAUGCCAGAUUACAUCAGGGGAUUAAAUAAUGGUCUUUAUAUAUGAAGAAGUUUAAUACUUUCAGAAACUAUGAUAGAAACUUAAGAUUUGGAGUUUUAGAGUCAAUACUGCUAGUUACAAUCUAGGAAGUGAUGUGUGUUCUUCUUGAUGAUGAGCUAGCUGGAGUUAACUAUACUCUCUUGUUUAUUCUGUAUAUUCCAUUUCCAUACAUAUAUUAUGUUCAAUGUUCUACAUCACACUGUAUGAAAAGUCUUCAAAAAAGUUCAUGGAAAAAUGGAAUUAAAAGAUGUUUAUUUUAGCACAAAAAUGUUUAAAUCCAUAUUUAAUUUCCCUCAAAUAUACAUUUAAGGUUUUAGAAGUCCCUUCAUAUUUGGUAUUCUAACUCAUUUUCCACUCUUCAAGAUCAGAAUAAACCAUCUGUUGCCCUGAAAUCUUUCUUCUGCCAGGGUCUUACGAAUCAUUAAAGACGAUUACUGUAUUUUCUGACACUUCUUAACAAGUAAAAUAUUAUCCAGUAAAAUAUUUUCCUUUUGUAUCUUUUAUGAUUUCCUGCAAUACCAAAAUGCUAGAUUCUAUGUACUAGAUGUGCAUUCAAAUGGAAAAACCAAAGGAUUGCCUUCAGAAUUUUAAGGCCAUGCAUGCAGCACUGACUCUUCAUUUGAUAUUUGCAAAGCACUUUGACAAUAAAUGCAUUUCAUGUUAUUUCUAAACUUCUCAUUUAAUGAUUUUUCUGAAGAGAAUUGUGGAUAAAAGGGCAAGUAAAUGUUAAAAAUGUAUGCAUACUUUACAAAUUCUUGGAGAGAAGAAUGAAUCAGCAUCCUAGCUUCAUGAAGUCACAACUGACACAGUAAGUCAGACCUGUGAUUAUAUGACAGUACUUCAAAAUGUUCUUGGAAAAAUUGAACUAAAUAUAAGGUUAUUUGGGUACAAUUUUUUUGAAAUACAUAUAUAUGAUGAUUCUCCAAAGUGUUUAUGGCCAAUUCAUAUCAUGGAAAAUUUAUGCAUGGAUUUCAAAUUUUUUUUCAGUAAAACGAACUUUAUUUUCAAUUCCUUGUUCCAUGAACUUCUUGAAAUACCUUCUUCCCUGCAAGAAAAAAUAUAUAAAGAGAUAAUAUGGGAGGUACUUAAAAUAAAAAUUAAUAAUAAUGUUUAGGAUUAUACAGUUGCCCAUCCAGGAAAAAUUUAUCUGACAUAUGUCCAAUGUAACAUGGCCUGAUAGGUUCUGAAAAAAAUAUAAAUCAGGUAUUUUAAAAAGGAAUCCAGCUUUUUCUGACUGAGGCUCCACUUCUAAUUCUGACAAAUGCAAAUUUCAAAAUCAUUGCUUAGCUCUUUGUCUACAUCUAUGUCUAUGUCCUUUAUCAAUUGCACUCCAACUACAUAUCUUCCUAGUUGUUUGCUUUCUCAUUUACAAUUAGUUAAAUGAGAAAAACACACAUUUCAGUAUUCACUGAUGCCACUCACAUCUAUUUCUCAGUCUGGCAAAAAUUCCUGAGGCAUAGGCUGCAACCUAAGGCUCUUUCUGCCCUAUUUUCCCUCCUUCUCCUUAUUCGUAGAGGUCAAUCCUGACUCUAACCAAAAGACUCUGUGCCUACUCUUGCUCUCCUCCUUUAUGCUUCACAGACAUUUCCUUCAUUAAAUCCCUUGCAGGAUUAAUUCUGUUUUGGUACCGGCUUCCUAAAAGAACCCAAACAAACCCAAUUGCCAUCCUGAAAAGUGAACAAACAGUAUUUUUUUUUAAAGUACAUAGACAUCAGAUAAAUAAUCAUUGCUGUAUUUGCUACUCCACCUUUCUAAAAGCAUAAAAACAUUCUAUAGUCUCAAUCAUUUUUAAAUCUUCUUCCUUAACUCUAUGAAUAGGUGCACAUAACAGUUUUUCCAUUCAUAGUCAAAUUGUAAAGAUCCAUUCUAACUUGUCUCCAGUUCAGUGUUACGACCAUAUACGUAGGGACAGUUACCAGGUUGUGAUUGUGCAAUAUUAGCAGAAAGGGAAAGAAGUAUACUCCAGAAAGCUGUGCAUAAAUCUACCUGUUACCAAACUGGGUGGAGAGCAGAGAUUAGAGAUCUAGAAGCUGGACUUGAUUAGUGCUUGUUGCUCACCUCCACUGAAGUACUUUUCACACAUUCAAUUGAGUUUGUCAGGCAUUUGUAUCUUCUUCCCAAUAGACUGGGUAUUUCUAGAGGACACAUUGUAUCUUAUGUCUAUAGUUUUGGAUUCUAAUACAGUUAUAAAGAGCUCAAUUAAUGUCAGUUAUAAGAGUGUAAAAAGACUGAAAUGGAAAGAGAGAAAAAAAAAGGGCAAAGACUGAAGGGAAAUGGUAAGUUGCACUAUGAGAAGAAGGCAUGGAAAUUUUUUAAAAAUGUAAGAAAAUUAGAUCUAAAGGGGAUAGAAUAAAGGCAGAGAAUUUUUUUAAGUGAAAGAG